GACGAACGCUGGCGGCGUGCUUAACACAUGCAAGUCGAACGGAAAGGCCCUGCGUUUGUGGGGUGCUCGAGUGGCGAACGGGUGAGUAACACGUGAGUAACCUGCCCUUGACUUUGGGAUAACUUCAGGAAACUGGGGCGAAUACCGGAUAGGAGCUCCUGCUGCAUGGUGGGGGUUGGAAAGAUUCGGCGGUUGGGGAUGGACUCGCGGGUUAUCAGCUUGAUGGUGGGGUAGUGGCUGACCAAGGCUUUGACGGGUAGCCGGCCUGAGAGGGUGACCGGCCACAUUGGGACUGAGGGACGGCCCAGACUCCUACGGGAGGCAGAAGGGGGGAAUAUUGCACAAUGGGCGGAAGCCUGAUGAAGCAACGCCGCGUGCGGGAUGACGGCCUUCGGGUUGUAAACCGCUUUCGCCUGUGACGAAGCGUGAGUGACGGUAAUGGGUAAAGAAGCACCGGCUAACUACGUG
rnacentral:rRNA from 1 species